UUGGAGACCAUUGACCACCUCCUUGCUGGAAGCCCAUUCUCCCGAGUUGUCUGGCAUAGCAUCCUGGCCGCAUGCAGACUCACGGUAGACAUCCCGACUCCUACGUCUCGGUUCAUGGACUGGUGGAGUUCGGCUACGGCGACCUCCCGUCAGUCCCUUCGCAAAGGUGUUGCUUCCCUGGGCGUUCUGGUGGCUUGGAGCAUUUGGAAGCAUCGUAAUGCUGUCAUCUUCGAUGCUGCUACACCUUCCACAGAUCGUCUCACACAAACCAUCCUCGACGAGGCACGCACGUGGGCUCUGGCCAGAGCUAGAGGAUUGGCGGCGUUUUCUAUUUUUGAGCCACCAUAG
rnacentral:rRNA from 1 species